GUUGUGGCUCAGAGGGAGCGCACUCGCCUAGCAUGUGUGAGGCCCUGGGUUCGAUCAUCAGCACCACA
rnacentral:tRNA from 1 species